GUUGGCAAUUAAGCCAGGCUUUGAGGCUCCAGCCCUGCAGUGGCACACCUGUUUUGCAUCCGGGAAUCAUGAGAGGCUUCAGGGCUCAGGUGUCCACCAGAGGCCGCCAUUUCCCCAUUGCCAACAGGGAAUUUGUAACAAGACCUGUAAUUUAAUGAA